ACAUAGGGUAUUAACAUAGUCAAUGCACAUCCGCUAUAUUUUGGAAUAUUUAUAACAGGGUUUACGUUUUUUCUUUUCUCUAUACAAACCCCUUUUUCUCCAUUUUUCAACACAACAAGAUCUGUUAAUUACUCUUUUCUUCAUAUAAAUCAAAGAUUAGGAGAAUCUUAUAACACUGCAACUCCUUUUUUACGAAUCUCCGGUUUCCGUUUCCACCGACAACUCCGUGGUGUUAUGAUUGUACUCUGAGCUUUAAUGAUUGUACUUUGAGGUUUAUAUUCUCAUAUAUUUUGAUACUGUGAAGCUUCUAAGUGGAGCUGCUAGUGCUUUUUUCUUGUUUCGGCUUUCCGGUCUCGUUUUUACCAAGGUUAGUCUGAAGUUCUCACAGACGGUUGUCUGAUUGUACUUAACAGAGCUAUAAAGGCAAAGUUAAGAGGUUAGUCUGAAGUUCUCACAGACGGUUGUCUGAUUGUACUUAACAGAGCUAUAAAGGCAAAGUUAAGAGUGCUAAUGGGGGCCAAGCGCACAAGAUCACAGGGUGAAAGUGAUGACAGGAAAAAGUUCUCUAUUCCACCCGGUUAUGAAUCGUUAACGCCCUUCACACUAAAGAUGGUUGAAAAUAGUCAGGAAGGUCCUAGCCAGGUUGCUUCUACUUCAACAAUUAUUAGCACAGGAAAGCUUAAGAGUUCUGUUAGGCGUAGGCCUUGGAUACUUGAUGAUCAUGUUGAUCACAUGGAAGAGGAUCCUGAAUGUGAAGCUGAUAAGAGUUCGUUUUCACGUGCUUGUCUUCCCAAAGGAGUGAUCCGAGGAUGUUACCGUGGUCACAACUGCGAGAAGGUUGUUGCAAGAUGUCGUCCGGAAUUAGCACGGAUCCCUUCACUUGAUGAGGCUCCCGUAUUCCAUCCUACUAAAGAGGAGUUUGAAGAUACCCUCAAGUAUGUCGCAAGCAUCCUUCCACAUGUCAAGCACUACGGAAUAUGCCGUAUUGUUCCUCCUGCUUCCUGGACCCCACCUUGCCGCAUUGAAGAAGAGGCCACGAGGUAUGGAAUCGACACCCGUAUCCAGCGCAUUGGUGACCUCCAGAGUGUGUUUUUCAAGAAAAUGAAGAUGAAUAAUAGACAGCAGGAAAUCCUCAGCAUGGAACUUAAAGAAUUUGGUAGCUGUAAUGAACACUUUGAACUUGAAAGUGGGCCCAAGUUUAAGCUGAAAUCUUUCAAGAAUUACGCUAAUUAUUUCAAGAGGCAGUACUUUGUCAAGAAUUCCCCAUCUAUUCCUGAUAUUGAAGGGGAAUACUGGAGGAUUAUUGAGAAUCCAACUGAAGAAAUCGAGGUGCUCCAUGGGAAUAUUAUGGAAACUAGUGCAAGUGGGUUUCCACAUAAAACGAAUCCACGGGAUGUAACUGAAUGUCCACAAUAUGUGGAAUCUGGUUGGAACUUAAACAAUACCCCUAAGCUUCAAGAUUCUCUUCUACGCUUUGAAAGUUGUAACAACCCCUCUAUUUUGCUUCCCCGGCUCUCCAUCGGAAUGUGUUUUUCAUCAAAUCACUGGAGAAUUGAAGAGCAGCACUUAUAUUUGCUAUCCUACAUACAUUUUGGUGCCCCGAAAAUAUUUUAUGGGGUUCCCGGGAGUUAUCGUUGCAAGUUUGAGGAAGCUGUCAAGAAGAAUCUGCCACAGUUGUCAGUACAUCCUUGUUUGCUUCACAACCUUGCCGCUCAAUUCUCGCCUUCUAUAUUGACUUCAGAGGGUAUACCUGUUUAUCGUUGUGUGCAAAAACCAAAGGAGUUUGUUCUCAUUCUCCCUGGAGCAUACCAUGCGGAUUUCGAUAGUGGAUUUAAUUGUUAUGAAGCAGUAAAUUUUGCUCCGGUUGAUUGGUUGCCACAUGGUCAGAUUGCUGUCGAACGGUAUUGUGAGAAGGGGAGAAAGACAUCAAUCUCCCAUGAUAAGCUGAUGUUUGAAGCAGCCACAGAAGCAAUUAGGGCUUUAGGAGAACUUGCACUGUGGAACAAGAAUUCUUUUGAUAAUUUAAAAUGGAGAGCAGUCUGUCAGAGCAAUGGGAUUUUAACAAAUGCACUUAAGACACGGGUUGCCACUGAAGUGAGAAGACGCAAAUAUGUGUGUGCUUCUCUUGAAUCGCAAAAGAUGGAGGAUGACUUUUGUGCUACGACCAAACGGGAGUGCGCUAUAUGCUUCUAUGAUCUAUACCUUUCGGCCAUUGGCUGCAAAUGUUCUCCACAUAAAUAUACUUGUCUUCUUCAUGCCAAGCAGCUUUGUGCUUGUGCUUGGAGCGAGAAGUAUUUUCUUAUACGGUAUGGAAUAGAUGAGUUGAACAUCAUGGUUGAUGCUUUGGAUGAGAAGGUAAGUGCAGUUCAUAAGUGGGCAAAAGAAAAACUUGGAUUGCCUGUGUCUGACGUCUCUAAAGAUGCCAGCAAGGAUGGAUGUAUGGUACCUCCUUUUGAAAUGGUGAAGGUACCUGUGAUUUUUGAUGUGGGACUCUCUGAGAGUAUGUCUCACCGUUUAACCUCCGGACGAACAUCAUAUAUUCAACAGGAUCAGAAAAAUAAUUUGGAUCCAAUAUCUUGUUCGUCUGUUGGUUCAGAUGCAUUGACUCAUCGAUCACAAUCGAAAGAAAAUGGUCAAGAUGAGAAUAAAGUUUUAUUGCCAAAAAUAUCACAGCAUACUGCUGUUGGAGAAAAUAUUGCGACUUCUUCCAAUGCAGUUCGCAAGAAGCAUCUUGCUCGGGAGUCUUCGUCUACUGAAAAAAAGGUAUAUUCAUUCAAGGUAUCAAAUACUCUUGCUAAUAUUUGUCAGUUCUAUGGUUAAUGCAAGAGUUUGGGAACGUUGUCAAACCACAUGCAGGGGAUCCAUCGAUAUUGGUGAAUCAAGUGAGUAUGUCGUAGGAGGAGAAGAAGCACUUCCUUCUAUAAAGGAAUUUUAAACAAAAUCAGAGCAUAUUUUUCCUUGGAGAUCCUGCAACCACAAUGAAGAAAAAGAAAAGAUCAAACUUUUCCAUUUGAUUUCUUAAAACUUCUUUAUAAAUUUUAUUUGUCACUUAAAUUUGCCUCCCAGCCUUGUAAAACGUGUGGGUGGUAGUUGGCAGUUCUCCUAUUUGUUGGCUCGGUUUGGCAGCUUCAUAUCCAUUAUGAAAUAAAUUGUACAAAUUGGAUUGUUUCAGGUAUUUGUUGAUGUGAAGAGGAACUCACGGUGCCUAUCCGGAAGGCCUCCUCCCACUUCAUUCGGGACGGAGGAUGCGUCGUAGAACGUAAUGGUAAUCUGAGUCAAUAGUCGCUCUUGCACCAGUCUAGACCAGGUCAUGGGAAGUCGUAUCAAGUCUGUAAAAAAUUGUGUUGUUGUAAACCUGUACACCUUAUGUCAUUGAAUACUUAUAAAUGGAAUUCGGCUGUACUUCUUAACUAUCAAAUGCGUUUAAAUGGAAUGUCGUAUGAUAGAUUCAUUUUAUGAAUGAGAGGGUUCGCCUACCGAGGUGGGAGGGUAGGUGCCCACACGAACCCGAAUUUGGGUCGUGACAUUCUUACACAAAUAAGGUAAAAAUCUCCAUACAUUGUGAAACUGUCCCUAAGAAUGGGCAAAUUCAUUCAAGGCUACAGUGCCAAAAAAAAUAAUCAGGUAAUUGUGUGAAAAGAUUUACAAUUUAGCUCUUAUUUGUUAUGUACACAACUCUAAAGUUCCAUAUAUAUGGAUUUAUUUGUAACCUAUUGUGCAUUGCAAUAUUUUUUUAAGAUAAGUGGGAAAAAAUGCAGUAAUGACAGCGACAAGACACAAAUAAAAAAGGAAAUUAUUUUUUCCUCUUCCCAGUGCAUUCGUUUUUUUUUUUUUUAAUUUACAUGUGAAAUUCUGCUAUUUGCAGUAGCAAAGAUAAAUACUUUAGGGAUACCAAGAUUUUUUAUUUAUCAAUUAAAGAUGUAAUAUUUUAAGGGCCUGAAGCAACUUCUUGGCAUAGCUACAAGAUAAUGAAUGAAGACAAUUCAGUUGUUAUACAUGUUGGCAGCAUUACUACGACAACACCUGAGAUGAGAAGGAGAAAGAGAAAACUAGAGGUGAAAGAUGAGUGAGAUGAGGUCAUGUAAGAGUUUCAUCUGGAACAACUUACUUUUGUUAACCGGUUCCAGAAUUCAAAUUCUAGGCCAUUGCAACAUAUCUCAUACAUAUGUUGGAGCAACUAAAUCUCUCUGUUUUUGCCUUUCUAGCAAACUUCCUGUAUGACUUUGUUCCACAAAUGAAUAUGAUAUGAUAUGAAGCAUAUUAUGCAAAUAUUUUGUUUAAUCAUGUCGCCUUUAUUUGCAUCUCAUUGGUACAAGGCACGGACACGAGCCAUCUAGUUUACUACUAUAUAGAAGCACCAAGAGCAGGACGACCAUAUAAUUUAUUGGCACAUCAAAAGUUGGACAGGUUUCUAUAUUCGUUAUUUUAUUCAAAAGUAAGGGUAUUUUUGUCUUUUGCAUCUGUUCUUUCUGUCACACUCUCCUUCCCGAUCCUUCUUCGUUGUUCUUCACGUCUCCCAAUUAUUCCCUCAUUGCUCUUCUGUACUCUCUCAUUCCUCUUCCUCUUCUUUAUCAAAACUAAGACUCUAAAGAAUUCAACGUCUUCGGUCAAGCAACUAUAUGAAUCUUUAUCUCAUAGUUAUUUCUUACUUUGAAUGGCGAAGCAUUAGGAUUUAUUUGACAUCCCAAAGUUAGUUCCUUUAUUUAAGUUGUCUUUCCUUUGUGAUAUAUUUGUUUUCAUGUUCCCCUCAGUUAUUCUUAUUAUUUUUUUUGUCAAAUGAUUUAAUAGAUAAUGUAAUUUGUCAGUUCACACUCUUAAAUUGAAAAACAGAUUCGAUAAACUGAAAUAGAUUAAUUGGAUUAACUGAGUUUCUGGUUCAUUUUUUUAUUUUGCUAAGGUAUUUGAUGAUAUUCCUUAAACAAUUUAAUUAUGCAAGGAAGUUGAAUUCACAUUUGUCUCUCGAGUUAAAAUUAAUCAAAUAGUUUUUAGGAGAAAUAUUCUCUUCCAAAGCAACCUCUUCUUUCUUUGGUUAUGUCCAAUUUUAUAAUAGCAGCACAUGUUUUCAUAUUUUAUUUCUCGCAAGUUUUUUCUUCUUUGUCUUUAUCAACGAAAGACUACGGGUCUGCGCCCUUACUUGCCAUGUUCAAUACCAGUGGUGGAGCCGGGAUUUUCAUCUAGGGGUUCAAAAAUUCUAAAAGGUAAAUACACAAAGAAGUCAGGGGAUUCAACAUCUACUAUAUAUACAUAAUAAAAUAAUUUUAAUUUUGAAAAUACACUGUAAUUUUUCGCCGACGGGAUUCGAAUGAACCCCUGGAGCUAACAUGGCUCCGCCCCUGUUCAAUACUACUAGGUAAGAAGAAAGAAAAAGAAUCAAGGUGAUAUGACUAACUUUAUUUCAUUAUGAUGAUUACACUUUGCUUAUCACUGCAAAAGAAUCUAGCUCAUGGAUCGCCUUGAUUAAAAUUUCCAAUGCUCUAGCUUCGCUAUCAUGGGAAUUGAAUACCUUUGAGCACGACCAUGGUUAAAGCUCUAUAAAAUUAAUGUGCUUUACAGGUGUCUAGGGUCGUAUCACCAAACACCAAGAGGUAUGAUAUAAAGAGUCUAUAAUGUGGUUUUGAACUAAUUCAACGUGACGAUGCUUCUAUUGAAUCCCUUGAAUUAAUAGUCUCUGUCUUCUUGAUGGUAUUACGUGAAGUGUCUUGGACUGAAAAUGGCUAAGCUUAGGUAACUGUGGGAGAUGGAAAAAGAAAACUAAAGCAUCUUGACAUGUUUUGGAAGAGUAAUGUGUUUGUUCAGAUCUAUUUGAGGCAUUCCAAAUCCGUGGAUUUUAAAGAAAAGAGCGUAACCCCUCAUAAAAUUCAUCAAGAAUUUAGGGACUGUUAGUAAUGAUUUAUGAAUAAUGGUAAUUUCAAUUUUUAAUUUGAAAGUAAUUCAGUGAUGGCUUUGGCAUUUUCUAGCUUUUUCCAAAGCAGAUCAGUAACUUCAAUUCUUCCACUUUCCUUUGAAUUUUUGGUUCUCUUAGAUUUUACUUGUUACAUAAAAAUAUUAAGAGUAGCACUUCUGUGCUAUGCUUAUUUUUGUGGUUAUUAGUUCAGAAAAACAUAACAAAUGUUCCUCUUAUAGAACUCUAAUGUAAUAUCUUAAGAUUUAAUGCAUUGUUUCUCUAUCUGCUCUUUGAGUUUUGCAUCUUCAUAGAUUUAUUUCCUACUUGCUUUUGCAGGAGAAAAUAUCAAGUUGUCCUGAGAAAUUGAAGUAAUGUUAAUGUUAACUUUCAUAUUUUGCCAAUGUCUAGGUACCUCUCUUUAUUUCCACUUUGAAUGAAAUUAUAACAUUUUAUUCCAGGUCAAGAUAAUAAACUUACUUCUGUAAUUUUUGGAUUUAAUAAAUGUAUGAGUUUAUCUUUUUGGAUGAUGUUAGGUUACUUCUAUAGAUCAAAUAGUGAAGGUUAACAACAAACUUUUCUUCUAAGCUCUUGAAGCUCCAUCUUUCAUGUCGAGUAGCUAAUGUACUCCAUUUUGUCUUGUCCUGUUUGAGACAAAUUACUUGUGUUCUCUAUUUCUAGCAGAUUGUCAAGUGUAUAUUCCGUGAUCUGAGCUUUAGAAGAUGAAGCAUUAACCGCGGUUGAUACUGGAAUAAGUUCUACUCCAAGAGUUCUAUUGAUCUUAUUGUCUCCACCUACAACAUAGUCAACUAUCAGCAUGAAUACAUGCUUCAUAGCUUCCUAUUAAAAAAAUUAACAGCUAAUCACCUACGCUGAAAGCAGCAGUAGCAAAUGCAUUUGCUCAUAGACUAAGUCGACACAAAACUUAUGUAAAGCUUUAAUCCAUGGACUCAUAUGUUAAUUUAGAUCUUGGGUUAAAUUUACAUUGUGGCAUUGAAGUUGUACUAAUUUCAAGGGAGUGAUAUCUCAAAGCAAAAACUUGUUUAUCUUUUA